AAACUCAAAGGAAUUGACGGGGACCCGCACAAGCGGUGGAGCAUGUGGUUUAAUUCGACGCAACGCGAAGAACCUUACCAGGCCUUGACAUCCUACUGACAGAGGAAGUAAUGUUCCUUUUCCUUCGGGACAGGAGAGACAGGUGGUGCAUGGUUGUCGUCAGCUCGUGUCGUGAGAUGUUGGGUUAAGUCCCGCAACGAGCGCAACCCUUGUUCUUAGUAGCCAGCGGGUAAGGCCGGGCACUCUAGGGAGACUGCCGGGGAUAACCCGGAGGAAGGCGGGGAUGACGUCAAAUCAUCAUGCCCCUUAUGGUCUGGGCUACACACGUGCUACAAUGGCGUCUACAAAGGGAAGCGAAGGAGUGAUCUGGAGCGAAUCCCAAAAAAGGCGUCCCAGUUCGGAUUGCAGGCUGCAACUCGCCUGCAUGAAGCUGGAAUCGCUAGUAAUCGCAGAUCAGAAUGCUGCGGUGAAUACGUUCCCGGGUCUUGUACACACCGCCCGUC
rnacentral:rRNA from 1 species